ACCUAAAUUUCAGAGAAGAAAAUCAUUAACUCUUCUUCUUUAUCGACCCUGUCUGUGAGGGCGGCACCAUGUGAGAUUCAGAGACGAAAUUGGUAUGGGUUUUGAGUAUGUUGUUACAGCUGAUGACUAAGAAGAAUUGAGGAACCAGAGAGAGGAGAAGAUGGAUUUGUUGAUGUUCAGUUUAAAUGGAAGAGAAAUCAGGCGAGAACAUGAGUUAUUGCUGUUGAUAUUUAGGGUUUCAUGGAGAUGAAGAUUUGGUAGUUGAUUCAGAGUUUAAAAGACUAAUUGCGGAUGAAUUACAAAGGGGUUAAACUCAGAUUGAGUUUGGAUUGAUAACUGAAGAUGAUAAGUUAAAACUGUUGCCACUGUUGUUGUUGUGUUGAUGGAACCAGGGUUUUGAAUCUGGGUUGAAAUUGACUGAAAGUGUUCGAAUCUGAAGAAUGGGUUUGGUUGAAUGGAACUGCAGACGGAAAAACAAGGUAUAAUCGAGAAUUUGAGAUGUUGUUGCUCAGUAGGUACUGAAAAUGAUGGUAGAAGCUGGGUGAUUUUCAUGGGUCAGGUGGAAUUGAUGUUGCUCAAGUGUUGAAAUAGAUGAAUGUCUAAGACAGGUACAAAUUGCAGGUGGCAGUGGCUCUGAUUAGAGCAGUUGUUGGUGGUUCAGGGAAAGGAGGAGAAAAUGAGUUGUUGGUGGUACAGAACUGAAGCUGCAAAGUGGUUGAAAUUGGAGUUGUCAUGAUAUAUGAGAAGGUAUGGUGGUGUUAGCUCAAGCUUGAGUUGCGGAAUGGAGAUGAAUGUAUGACUGCAACAGCAGGUGGUACUAAUAUGGCUUGAAAUAGAGCUACAAAGAAUAGGAAUUGGUAUUGCUGCUUGAGGUGUGAGCUGGAGGUCAAAGCAAUGAAUCUCAGAUAAUUUGAGAGGGGUUUGAUUCAGAGAUUGCAGGCUGGUAUAGAUGUAGUUAUGGUGGUGUUUGCAUAAGCUGAGAAGCUGUAAAUGGAGUAAUGGUUUCAGGCAAGAAGCUGCAAGGGAAGCUGCAAUGGAACUGAUGCUGUUGUGCGGUGUUAAAUGGGAUAAGUUGAAAACUGGCUCGGCGACAAAGAAAAGAGAAUUGAAGGCAUUUGAGCAGCAUAGUACAUGAUGUUUCUACAAUGACUUUGAGGUGCUGUGAAGAACAGUUGCAAGCUGGUGAUAUUGAUGCUUGUUGUGAGCAGUAGAAGAAGAAUAGGAAGCUACAGGUGGCCUGUGAUGGUGCAAUGGUUCUGGUAGCUGAUGGCUUUGAAGUGUUGGCUGCAAUGGACCAACUGGGAGUGUGGCAGAAGUAUGGCAAGAGACGAAGCUGCUGGUGGAGUAUGGAGUGACAGAAUGGUGGUAUUACUGAUGAUGAAGCACAAUGAUGGUGCAACAUCAGGUUAUGGCAUGUGCAAUGUUGCAAAGGCACAUGCCUUGACAGCUUUGGCUUAAAACUAAAACAGCUGAGUUAGUUUCUGACUCAGAUCUGAACCUGACUCACCCAUCUAACUCAUAGAUUGUGUUGACCGGUUGACCAACUGUGACCGGUGACUGGUUUGACUUUCUUGGUUACCUGAGGCGAUUUCCGAUGACUUUUACGGCAGAUUUCCGGCCACUGCAUCAAUUCUCCGGCGACAUAUUUUUGGCAAGAUUUUUACAUGGGUUUCUCGCACACGUGGUCUUGUUGGACCACUUGGACUUUGGGCUUUGAAGACCUAGUUUUGGAAAGAUGAAAAUCUACAAAAGGGAAAGUUUCUACUUUCUUGAUAUCACGUAUUUUUCUAUUGGGAGCUUUGGAGAACGACGACUAGGGUUUGCUUUCAUUUUUAUUCUUCUUCAUUUUUAUUAUUGAUUAUGAUGAACUCAAAAGAUAUGAGUAGCUAAACUCAUAUUAUUUGUUAUGGGAUAAAGUGGAUUUCACAAAUGAUAUUUGCAUCUAUGAA